rnacentral:rRNA from 1 species
AGCGAACGCUGGCGGCAGGCCUAACACAUGCAAGUCGAGCGCCGUAGCAAUACGGAGCGGCAGACGGGUGAGUAACGCGUGGGAACGUACCUUUCGGUUCGGAAUAACUCAGGGAAACUUGAGCUAAUACCGAAUACGUCCGUAAGGAGAAAGAUUUAUCGCCGAAAGAUCGGCCCGCGUAAGAUUAGCUAGUUGGUGAGGUAACGGCUCACCAAGGCUAUGAUCUUUAGCUGUUCNGAGAGGAAGAUCAGCCACACUGGGACUGAGACACGGCCCAGACUCCUACGGGAGGCAGCAGUGGGGAAUAUUGGACAAUGGGCGCAAGCCUGAUCCAGCCAUGCCGCGUGAGUGAUGAAGGCCUUAGGGUUGUAAAGCUCUUUUGUCCGGGAAGAAAUCGCAAGGGUGAAUAGCCUUUGUGGCUGACGGUACCGGGAGAAGAAGCACCGGCUAACUUCGUGCCAGCCGCCGCGGU